rnacentral:lncRNA from 1 species
AACUUGUCCAACCUUAUUAGUUAAAAGAAGCUACUCAACAAAGAACAAAGUCCAGUCUCUGUGAAGGCAGCAGAAAUCUUGCAUCAUUUUCUAUUGACUGCAGCACAGUUACAAAAGAUUUCCAUUUGCAGAAUUAAGUUCAAUUUUGGGCCUACGUGACAAGCCACAUUUUAAUGACAUCUUUCCCCAGGUAUGGCUCAAGCUUGUAUGUGGGCUCUAGAUUGGAAGAAUAAAUUCUGGGGACAUUUGAGACUUUUUUAGAUGCUGGUGAGAUAGUCAACCCUCGUGAAUGAAAAAGUUCUGGGGAGAGCCUUUGGACAUUGCUUUCAGGAAGAUUGAUUCUGAUCAUCUUAUCAGCCAAGGCAUAUGACCAGGGAGAGUGCUGGGAGCAGGCAGGCCGUUUCCACCACCGUGACACAGAAACAAACGGCAGAUUAUCUGCUGGGUACAAAAGGUCAGAGGACCACGGAGUAUCCUGAGUUGGAAGGGAUCCACAAGGAUCAUUGAGGUCUACAAAGAGGCUUCAAAUGACUUCUGUUGUUCCAUAGGAAGCUGAAGGGUGUUGUUUAUAGAGAAGCUGGAUAUCAAAAUUUUGCUCUGUGGUGCCUGUUGCCAUUGAGAUUGGAGGAAGCCUGGACAAUGUUCAGCCUUGCACGGGCAUGUGGCUGUGAAUUAAAGGAAACAACAAAUAUCUGUGAAUCAUUCCCCACGCUCCAGCAUUUUUUCUAAAAUCCUUCAAGAAGAGCUGUAGAGAGUUAAAAAAAAAAAAAAAUGCCAGUAUAUUUCCAGCACUCUAAAUCAUUCUGAGACAUAAUAUGAAAACAACCAAUGGUAUAACAUUCAAUGGGAGGGGUUGCUGUGGGGUACUGAUGAAGAUCAAAUAAGAUGAAAGAAAUCUCCUUCAUGUAUGAGAUACAGAACAGGUAGAAGUCAGAAAGUUUUGAUUUGUUUUGUUGAAUUGGGAGAUUAAAGAUCUAUUAAGAUCUGUUAUAGAGAAUAGAGAUCUGUAAAGAUCUAUAAAGAUCUAUUAAGAUCUUUGCCUGUUUAAAACAAACAAACAAAUAACAACAACAACAAAAAAAAACAAGAAAAAUGAAAAUGAUUGGCAUUACAGAGAGGUGAGAUACACAGGAUUCCUUUCUUUGCCUUGUCUUUUUUCUUCUUUUCCUUUUCCUUUUCCUUUUCCUUUUCCUUUUCCUUUUCCUUUUUUCUCUUCCUCUUCCUUUUCCUUUUCCUUUUUUCUCUUCCUCUUCCUCUUUCUUUCUCUUCAUCUUCCUCUUUUUCUUUUUUCUUUUCCUUUUUCCUCUUUUCUCUUCUUUUUCUUCUUCUUUUUUCCUUCUGUCUUCCACUUCUCUCUCUCUCUCUCUCUCGCUCUCUGUCUCUCUCUCUCUCUCUCUUUUUUUUUUUUUUUUUUUUUCCCCAGCACUGGACAGC